rnacentral:rRNA from 1 species
UUAAGUUAUUAAGGGCGCACGGUGGAUGCCUUGGCACUAGAAGCCGAUGAAGGACGUUACUAACGACGAUAUGCUUUGGGGAGCUGUAAGUAAGCUUUGAUCCAGAGAUUUCCGAAUGGGGAAACCCAGCAUGAGUUAUGUCAUGUUAUCGAUAUGUGAAUACAUAGCAUAUCAGAAGGCACACCCGGAGAACUGAAACAUCUUAGUACCCGGAGGAAGAGAAAGAAAAUUCGAUUCCCUUAGUAGCGGCGAGCGAAACGGGAAGAGCCCAAACCAACAAGCUUGCUUGUUGGGGUUGUAGGACACUCUAUACGGAGUUACAAAGGACGACAUUAGACGAAUCAUCUGGAAAGAUGAAUCAAAGAAGGUAAUAAUCCUGUAGUCGAAAAUGUUGUCUCUCUUGAGUGGAUCCUGAGUACGACGGAGCACGUGAAAUUCCGUCGGAAUCUGGGAGGACCAUCUCCUAAGGCUAAAUACUCUCUAGUGACCGAUAGUGAACCAGUACCGUGAGGGAAAGGUGAAAAGCACCCCGGAAGGGGAGUGAAAUAGAACCUGAAACCGUGUGCUUACAAGUAGUCAGAGCCCGUUAAUGGGUGAUGGCGUGCCUUUUGUAGAAUGAACCGGCGAGUUACGAUUUGAUGCAAGGUUAAGCAGUAAAUGUGGAGCCGUAGCGAAAGCGAAUCUGAAUAGGGCGUUUAGUAUUUGGUCGUAGACCCGAAACCAGGUGAUCUACCCUUGGUCAGGUUGAAGUUCAGGUAACACUGAAUGGAGGACCGAACCGACUUACGUUGAAAAGUGAGCGGAUGAACUGAGGGUAGCGGAGAAAUUCCAAUCGAACCUGGAGAUAGCUGGUUCUCUCCGAAAUAGCUUUAGGGCUAGCCUCAAGUGAUGAUUAUUGGAGGUAGAGCACUGUUUGGACGAGGGGCCCCUCUCGGGUUGCCGAAUUCAGACAAACUCCGAAUGCCAAUUAAUUUAACUUGGGAGUCAGAACAUGGGUGAUAAGGUCCGUGUUCGAAAGGGAAACAGCCCAGACCACCAGCUAAGGUCCCAAAAUAUAUGUUAAGUGGAAAAGGAUGUGGCGUUGCCCAGACAACUAGGAUGUUGGCUUAGAAGCAGCCAUCAUUUAAAGAGUGCGUAAUAGCUCACUAGUCGAGUGACACUGCGCCGAAAAUGUACCGGGGCUAAACAUAUUACCGAAGCUGUGGAUUGUCCUUUGGACAAUGGUAGGAGAGCGUUCUAAGGGCGUUGAAGCAUGAUCGUAAGGACAUGUGGAGCGCUUAGAAGUGAGAAUGCCGGUGUGAGUAGCGAAAGACGGGUGAGAAUCCCGUCCACCGAUUGACUAAGGUUUCCAGAGGAAGGCUCGUCCGCUCUGGGUUAGUCGGGUCCUAAGCUGAGGCCGACAGGCGUAGGCGAUGGAUAACAGGUUGAUAUUCCUGUACCACCUAUAAUCGUUUUAAUCGAUGGGGGGACGCAGUAGGAUAGGCGAAGCGUGCGAUUGGAUUGCACGUCUAAGCAGUAAGGCUGAGUAUUAGGCAAAUCCGGUACUCGUUAAGGCUGAGCUGUGAUGGGGAGAAGACAUUGUGUCUUCGAGUCGUUGAUUUCACACUGCCGAGAAAAGCCUCUAGAUAGAAAAUAGGUGCCCGUACCGCAAACCGACACAGGUAGUCAAGAUGAGAAUUCUAAGGUGAGCGAGCGAACUCUCGUUAAGGAACUCGGCAAAAUGACCCCGUAACUUCGGGAGAAGGGGUGCUCUUUAGGGUUAACGCCCAGAAGAGCCGCAGUGAAUAGGCCCAAGCGACUGUUUAUCAAAAACACAGGUCUCUGCUAAACCGUAAGGUGAUGUAUAGGGGCUGACGCCUGCCCGGUGCUGGAAGGUUAAGAGGAGUGGUUAGCUUCUGCGAAGCUACGAAUCGAAGCCCCAGUAAACGGCGGCCGUAACUAUAACGGUCCUAAGGUAGCGAAAUUCCUUGUCGGAUAAGUUCCGACCCGCACGAAAGGCGUAACGAUUUGGGCACUGUCUCAACGAGAGACUCGGUGAAAUCAUAGUACCUGUGAAGAUGCAGGUUACCCGCGACAGGACGGAAAGACCCCGUGGAGCUUUACUGUAGCCUGAUAUUGAAAUUCGGCACAGCUUGUACAGGAUAGGUAGGAGCCUUUGAAACGUGAGCGCUAGCUUACGUGGAGGCGCUGGUGGGAUACUACCCUAGCUGUGUUGGCUUUCUAACCCGCACCACUUAUCGUGGUGGGAGACAGUGUCAGGCGGGCAGUUUGACUGGGGCGGUCGCCUCCUAAAAGGUAACGGAGGCGCUCAAAGGUUCCCUCAGAAUGGUUGGAAAUCAUUCAUAGAGUGUAAAGGCAUAAGGGAGCUUGACUGCGAGACCUACAAGUCGAGCAGGGUCGAAAGACGGACUUAGUGAUCCGGUGGUUCCGCAUGGAAGGGCCAUCGCUCAACGGAUAAAAGCUACCCCGGGGAUAACAGGCUUAUCUCCCCCAAGAGUUCACAUCGACGGGGAGGUUUGGCACCUCGAUGUCGGCUCAUCGCAUCCUGGGGCUGUAGUCGGUCCCAAGGGUUGGGCUGUUCGCCCAUUAAAGCGGUACGCGAGCUGGGUUCAGAACGUCGUGAGACAGUUCGGUCCCUAUCCGUCGUGGGCGUAGGAAAUUUGAGAGGAGCUGUCCUUAGUACGAGAGGACCGGGAUGGACAUACCUCUGGUGUACCAGUUGUCGUGCCAACGGCAUAGCUGGGUAGCUAUGUGUGGACGGGAUAAGUGCUGAAAGCAUCUAAGCAUGAAGCCCCCCUCAAGAUGAGAUUUCCCAACUUCGGUUAUAAGAUCCCUCAAAGAUGAUGAGGUUAAUAGGUUCGAGGUGGAAGCAUGGUGACAUGUGGAGCUGACGAAUACUAAUCGAUCGAAGACUUAAUCAA